rnacentral:rRNA from 1 species
AUUGAACGCUGGCGGCAGGCUUAACACAUGCAAGUCGAGCGGGGGAAGGUAGCUUGCUACCGGACCUAGCGGCGGACGGGUGAGUAAUGCUUAGGAAUCUGCCUAUUAGUGGGGGACAACAUCUCGAAAGGGAUGCUAAUACCGCAUACGUCCUACGGGAGAAAGCAGGGGAUCUUCGGACCUUGCGCUAAUAGAUGAGCCUAAGUCGGAUUAGCUAGUUGGUGGGGUAAAGGCCUACCAAGGCGACGAUCUGUAGCGGGUCUGAGAGGAUGAUCCGCCACACUGGGACUGAGACACGGCCCAGACUCCUACGGGAGGCAGCAAUGGGGAAUAUUGGACAAUGGGGGGAACCCUGAUCCAGCCAUGCCGCGUGUGUGAAGAAGGCCUUAUGGUUGUAAAGCACUUUAAGCGAGGAGGAGGCUACUCUAGUUAAUACCUAGGGAUAGUGGACGUUACUCGCAGAAUAAGCACCGGCUAACUCAGUGCCAGCCGCCGCCGUAA